CAGAGGGUAGUUUAGACAAAAUAUUAACAUUGGAAGUUAAAGAGUAAGUAUAAAACUUAUCCUCUGA
rnacentral:tRNA from 1 species